CGGUGAAAGAAGAGGACGGAUUAAACCAAAUAAGACAAAUUCAAUCGAAGGAGGCGAAGGCAACGGCCGACAAACCUUACGACCCGGCGGGGAAAAAAACCGGCGGAGCUGGGUCUGCCUACACGCCCCUGUUCGCACUGGCCGCAUCACGCCGAUGAGCGAUCAGCAAUCAGCACACCUGGGACUGAUCGAGGGCAAGCUGAAUAAAGACCAGUGGACCCAAGGAUCCUUGCCGGAACUUAAUCUUCUGUCGUGUACACAGUCUGCCUUCGUCCCGGCGUCGACGAGCUGUGCGUCUCGUCAGCCAUAGUUUUCUCUGCUUGCCGGACUGCCUCUUCGAUCCUCGACCCUCGCUUGGACACGGACCUCCCGCGCCUCGCCAUUCGCCCUGACCAUCUGCCUGCCCCAAGGACUGCCUUCAUGCCUUGUUCCUCCUCUCGAGUCAACACUACGCAAAACACUCAAGUAAUUACCCACACAUAGUCUAACACCACAUACUUUUGGAUUUUGGUCACACUCCAUUCUCUAGCCUAGUUUAUUUAUAGUAUUAUUGUUGAUUAUUCUAUAUAUAUCGUAAUAAUAUAAUAAAAUACAUAGCCCUAUACUUCCCCCUUGUAUCUGUGCCGUCAACUCCCUCCUGCUAAACAUCCAUUUUCUACCGCUUGUCCCUUUUGGGGUCGCUGGUGCCUAUCUCAGCUGCAUUCGGGCGGAAGGCGGGGUACACCCUGGACAAGUCGCCACCUCAUCGCAGGGCCAGCACAGAUAGACAGACAACAUUUACACUCACAUUCACACACAAGGGCCAAUUUAGUGUUGCCAAUCAACUUAUCCCCAGGUGCAUGUCUUUGGAAGCCGGAGUACCCGGAGGGAACCCACGCAGUCACGGGGAGAACAUGCAAACUCCACGCAGAAAGAUCCCGAGCCCAGGA